CAGUAGCCACGGUAAUACGUAGGUGGCAAGCGUUGUCCGGAAUUAUUGGGCGUAAAGGGCUCGCAGGCGGUUUCUUAAGUCUGAUGUGAAAGCCCCCGGCUCAACCGGGGAGGGUCAUUGGAAACUGGGAGACUUGAGUGCAGAAGAGGAGAGUGGAAUUCCACGUGUAGCGGUGAAAUGCGUAGAGAUGUGGAGGAACACCAGUGGCGAAGGCGACUCUCUGGUCUGUAACUGACGCUGAGGAGCGAAAGCGUGGGGAGCGAACAGGAUUAGAUACCACAGUAGUCCCUGUCUCUUAUAC
rnacentral:rRNA from 1 species